rnacentral:tRNA from 1 species
GGGACGGUGGCGGAAUGGUAGACGCACCAGACUUAAAAUCUGUUGAUCGUAUGAUCGUGAGGGUUCAAGUCCCUCUCGUCCUA